rnacentral:rRNA from 1 species
AAAACGACUCUCGGCAACGGAUAUCUCGGCUCUCGCAUCGAUGAAGAACGUAGCGAAAUGCGAUACUUGGUGUGAAUUGCAGAAUCCCGUGAACCAUCGAGUCUUUGAACGCAAGAUGCGCCCCAAGCCGUUAGGCCGAGGGCACGCCUGCCUGGGUGUCAC